ensembl:rRNA 5S_rRNA 5S ribosomal RNA
GUCUGCAGACAUACCACCCUGAACACGCCUGAUCUCGUCUGAUCUCGGAACACAGUGUCAGUAACUGCGUUUAUCAUGCUGUGCUUUGCAUCUCCAGAGCUUGUUCGUUCUAUAUAACACAAACUCUGCAGCCA